rnacentral:rRNA from 1 species
UCUGUUAUUCACACUGCGUCUAAUGCACCGGAACCCAUGCGAUCUCCGAACUUAAGAGGCGCAAGGCGCGGUUAGUACUGAGGCAGGGGACUCCGCAGGAAUUCCUUUUGGGUGACGAUA